rnacentral:sRNA from 1 species
GGCUAUCUGUCACAAAUGCAGGUGCAAA